AUCUAAUCUAAGUUAAGCCUCCAGAUACGUAAGCAAGGCCCUCAUUUUUUUUCAAAUUCAGAUAUCCUUUGCUACAGAGAAUGUGGGAUGAGGGCAUGGGUGCAUUCUCUGCGAAAGAUAACACACUUUUCACAUGGAAACUAUGGGCACUACAGUGAUAGAGAAGGAAUGGCAACGUGCAUGGAAGCACGGAGAAGGUGACACUUGAGUGCGGGCUAAAAGGGCUUGUGCUUCUCUCUCUCUGUUUGGACCUGUGAAGGCAGGC